ACUAUGCUUCCUUCGUGCAACAAAAGAUGUAUCAAGUUUGUCAAAAUUUGAAUGUAUCUAGACAUGACUUAGUGUGUAGAUGCAUUUAAAUUUGGUCAAAGUUUAGACAUCUUUUUUGUUGAAUGGAGAGAGUAUAUG
rnacentral:pre_miRNA from 1 species